rnacentral:rRNA from 1 species
GCCCCAGUUCGGAUUGUAGUCUGCAACCCGACUACAUGAAGCUGGAAUCGCUAGUAAUCGCGGAUCAGAAUGCCGCGGUGAAUACGUUCCCGGGUCUUGUACACACCGCCCGUCACACCAUGGGAGUCGGAAAUGCCCGAAGCCGGUGACCUAACCUUUCAGGAAGGAGCCGUCGAAGGCAGGUCUGAUAACUGGGGUGAAGUCGUAACAAGGUACC